UACGUAGGGUGCAAGCGUUAAUCGGAAUUACUGGGCGUAAAGCGUGCGCAGGCGGCUAUGCAAGACAGAUGUGAAAUCCCCGGGCUCAACCUGGGAACUGCAUUUGUGACUGCAUCGCUGGAGUGCGGCAGAGGGGGAUGGAAUUCCGCGUGUAGCAGUGAAAUGCGUAGAUAUGCGGAGGAACACCGAUGGCGAAGGCAAUCCCCUGGGCCUGCACUGACGCUCAUGCACGAAAGCGUGGGGAGCAACAGG
rnacentral:rRNA from 1 species